rnacentral:tRNA from 1 species
GCCGAGAUGGGCGACAUGGACAUGUCAUCCAUGCCCUUCGACGGCAUGCGGAUGAUGUGGGCGGGGUUCGAGCCGCUUUUCGACACC